UACGAAGGGGGCUAGCGUUGUUCGGAAUUACUGGGCGUAAAGCGUGCGCAGGCGGCUUCUCAAGUCAGGGGUGAAAGCCCAGAGCUCAACUCUGGAAUUGCCUUUGAGACUGAGUGGCUUGAGUACGAGAGAGGUGAGUGGAAUUCCCAGUGUAGAGGUGAAAUUCGUAGAUAUUGGGAAGAACACCGGUGGCGAAGGCGGCUCACUGGCUCGUAACUGACGCUCAUGCACGACAGCGUGGGGAGCAAACAGG
rnacentral:rRNA from 1 species